rfam:Triticum aestivum genome assembly, contig: Triticum_aestivum_CS42_TGACv1_scaffold_423397_5BS
GGAUGCGAUCAUACCAGCACUAAAGCACCGGAUCCCAUCAGAACUCCGAAGUUAAGCGUGCUUGGGCGAGAAUAGUACUAGGAUGGGUGACCUCCUGGGAAGUCCUCGUGUUGCAUUCC